AUUCUACUCCCUCCGUUGCACAAUACAUGCCUUCUANUCAAAAUAUAUAUGUAUCUAGACAUGUCUUAGUAUAUAGGUACAUCCAUUUUUGGACAAAUGGAAGUCAAGUAUUUUGGAACGGAGGGAGUACACA
rnacentral:pre_miRNA from 1 species